UGGGGAAUAUUGCACAAUGGGCGCAAGCCUGAUGCAGCCAUGCCGCGUGUAUGAAGAAGGCCUUCGGGUUGUAAAGUACUUUCAGUCGGGAGGAAGGUGGUAAGGUUAAUAACCUUAUCAAUUGACGUUAUCGACAGAAGAAGCACCGGCUAACUCCGUGCCAGCAGCCGCGGUAAUACGGAGGGUGCAAGCGUUAAUCGGAAUUACUGGGCGUAAAGCGCACGCAGGCGGUUGAUUGAGUCAGAUGUGAAAUCCCCGGGCUUAACCCGGGAAUUGCAUCUGAUACUGGUCAGCUAGAGUCUUGUAGAGGGGGGUAGAAUUCCAUGUGUAGCGGUGAAAUGCGUAGAGAUGUGGAGGAAUACCGGUGGCGAAGGCGGCCCCCUGGACAAAGACUGACGCUCAGGUGCGAAAGCGUGGGGAGCAAACAGG
rnacentral:rRNA from 1 species